rnacentral:rRNA from 1 species
GAUGAACGCUGGCGGCGUGCUUAACACAUGCAAGUCGAACGGUGAAGGGAUCAGCUUGCUGGUUCUGGAUGAGUGGCGAACGGGUGAGUAACACGUGAGUAACCUGCCCCCUUCUUCUGGAUAACCGCAUGAAAGUGUGGCUAAUACGGGAUAUUCUGGGUCUGUCGCAUGAUGGGUCUGGGAAAGAUAUUGUUUCGGUGGGGGAUGGGCUCGCGGCCUAUCAGCUUGUUGGUGGGGUGAUGGCCUACCAAGGCGGUGACGGGUAGCCGGCCUGAGAGGGUGGACGGUCACACUGGGACUGAGACACGGCCCAGACUCCUACGGGAGGCAGCAGUGGGGAAUAUUGCACAAUGGGCGCAAGCCUGAUGCAGCGACGCCGCGUGAGGGAUGGAGGCCUUCGGGUUGUAAACCUCUUUCGCCAGUGAAGCAGGCCUGCUCCUUGUGGGUGGGUUGACGGUAGCUGGAUAAGAAGCGCCGGCUAACUACGUG